CCUGCUUAAAUCUGAGCCUCCCUCUGCCCAGGCUGCACCCGGAGACACAAUCCGCAGCCCCCUGGGUCGGUGCAGUCACCAGCCAGUCCCCUGAGAACUUUCCCCUCCCGCACCCGGGAAAAUGGGAUUUUUGCUCCUUGUCAUUGUCGCUGUAGCAGCUCUGGAAGGUGUCCGGUCCCAGACGCUGGUGGAGUCCGGAGGGGGUGUGAAGAAGCCCGGAGACUCUCUCCGCCUCUCCUGCAAAGCCUCCGGGUUCACUUUCAGUAGCAAGUGGCUGGAUUGGAUCCGUCAUGUUCCUGGGAAGGGACUGGAGUGGGUCUCCAGCAUAGAUAGUGCAGGUACCCCAUAUUACCUGGACUCAGGGAAAGGGCAAUUCACCAUCUCCAGAGACGCCUCCAGUAACCUGGUGCAUUUGCACAUCAGCAGCCUGAAACCUGAAGAACCCGGUGUGUAUCCUUGUGCUAGAGAUGGGGGAUCCCACAGUGAUCUACUUCACUACGAAUACCCUAAUGGGAUCCUGCGCUGGAGAAAGUCACUAAAGAUAGUGAAAUACUCUGACUGCCUUCUGCUUCAGUCACACAGUACAAGAAAUUCAGAGAAUUGUAGAAAGGUAGGGCUGGAAGAGGGAGUUCAAGAGGUCAGCGAGCCGACCCUCCUGCACUGA